AACCUUGAGAAAUGGCGCCAAAACGCCUAUAUCGGCCACGUCGGGGCAACCCGGCUAUGUCGGUAGAGUGUUAGGUGGAAUAGGCAUUUCGGACCCGGGGGGCAGUACCCCGGCGCCUCCACCACCAGCAGCGGACGGAAAGCUUGGACCGCAUCCAACGCAUUUUCCGCUGGUGCUGAUGGGGGCGAAAUAGGAUCGACGAGUGCAGUAAAGACCUGAUUGCCGGCCGGCCUGAAUGAGCCGUAAAACCGUUCAUCACCACAAGUGCUAACGAUAACGAAGCACUCGCAAUUGCUGCGUAACUGACGGCCUAACGGCCUAGGUUACAAAGACAAAAGCGCGGUCGGACCCCGCCGGGCAACAGAAGGGGAUUCCA
rnacentral:tmRNA from 1 species